rnacentral:rRNA from 1 species
AUGAACGCUGGCGGCGUGCUUAACACAUGCAAGUCGAGCGAGAAGUUUUGAAAAGAUUCUUCGGAUGAAAUUUAAAAUGGAAAGCGGCGGACGGGUGAGUAACGCGUAGGCAACCUGCCCCAUACAAGGGAUAGCAUUUGGAAACGAAUAUUAAUACCUUAUGAAACUUAACUAGUGCAUGCUAGGUAGGUCAAAAAUUUAUCGGUAUGGGAUGGGCCUGCGUCUGAUUAGCUAGUUGGUGAGGUAACGGCUCACCAAGGCGACGAUCAGUAGCCGACCUGAGAGGGUUAACGGCCACUUUGGAACUGAGACACGGUCCAAACUCCUACGGGAGGCAGCAGUGGGGAAUAUGGCACAAUGGGGGAAACCCUGUUGCUGCAUCUUCUCGUGAACUAUGAAGGCCUUUGUGUCUGACAGUUCUGUUCUAGGUGAUGAAAACUGAUGUUGGGCGAUGAGAUAGCCCCGGUGAAUGCUGUGCUUUUGUUCUGCGGUUGUGCUGAUUGGUAAUCUUUAUCUGGAUUUAUUGGGCGUUAAUGGUGCGUAGUUGGGCUUUUUAGUGAAAGGGUAUAAGUGAAUGUUCUUCUAUUGUUUUUGACUAUUUGCUGUUAUGUGUUGGUGUGUGAGAGAUUGAAUUGUGUGUUGUCUGGUGUUGGUGGUGUUAUUGUAUUUGUGUUGUGGAGUAUCUCUGAUUGUAUUGGUGUGUUUCUGUUGUGUUGUUGUGGUGUGUAUGGUGCGAUGUUUGCUGUGCUGGUGGGAUAGUGUGGAGUGGUGUGUGUAGUGUGUUUGUGUGUUGUAUUUUGUGCGUUGUGUGCUUCUGUGCCUGUGGUGUAAUAAAAUGUUUCAUAUUUAGUGUCUCGUUGUUGUGUGUGCUGCUUUGCAUGUAUGUCUGUGUCUGCUAUGUUCUCCUGUUGAGUGUG